rnacentral:rRNA from 1 species
AAACAUCACUAGAAGAAAUAACUUUUAGCAAUACCUGCCCAGUGCGAAAUAUUACUGUAAACGGCCGCCCUAGCGUGAGGGUGCUAAGGUAGCGAAAUUCCUUGCCUUUUGAUUGUAGGCCUGCAUGAAUGGUUUAACGAGGGUUUAACUGUCUCUAAAUUUUUAGUUGAAAUUGUAUUGAAGGUGAAGAUACCUUCAUUAAAAAGUUAGACAAAAAGACCCCGUGCAACUUUGAAAAUUGACUAUAUUCAGAAGUAAAAGAUUUUUAGGUGGGGCGCCUAGAAAGUAAGUCUAACCUUUCUGAAUAGUAAAUUCUCUCUGGAUUUGACCCGAUCAUAUUCGAUCAUAGGAGAAGUUACGCCGGGGAUAACAGGCUAAUCCUUUAGUAGAGCUCGUAUUGGCUAAAGGGAUUGGCACCUCGAUGUUGAAUCAGGGACGAUAGCUUCAAGGCGUAGAGGCUUUGAAAGUAGGUCUGUUCGACCUUUAAUACCCUACGUGAUCUGAGUCCAGACCGG